AUUGAACGCUGGCGGCAGGCCUAACACAUGCAAGUCGAACGAGUGGCGGACGGGUGAGUAAUGUCUGGGAAACUGCCCGAUGGAGGGGGACAACUACUGGAAACGGUAGCUAAUAACGCAUACCCUCGGGUGUUCCCAGAUGGGAUUAGCUAGUAGGUGGGGUAACGGCUCACCUAGGCGACGAUCCCUAGCUGGUCUGAGAGGAUGACCAGCCACACUGGAACUGAGACACGGUCCAGAUUCCUACGGGGGGCAGCAGUGGGGAAUAUUGCACAAUGGGCCAAAGCCUGAUGCAGCCAUGCCGCGUGUAUGAAGAAGGCCUUCGGGUUGUAAAGUACUUUCAGCGGGGAGGCGUUACCCGCAGAAGAAGCACCGGCUAACUCCGUGCCAGCAGCCGGGUAAUAC
rnacentral:rRNA from 1 species